UGUUUGAUUUGAUGUCUUGAUUUAUAUGUUUAAUACUUAUGUUUGAUUUGAUGUCAUGAUUUAUAUGUGUCUAAUCCUUAUGUUUUAUUUGACGUCAUAAAAUUAUCAUAUCUUCAAGACAUUUAUGUUUGACUGAUUUAAAUGAAUUUCUAUAUACCGUUCAGAUAUUUUGUUUUCUACAUUUAACGGUGACUUAUGAUUUGGAUAUAAUAUCCAUUAUAUUCCUUAAUCGUUAAUAUAUAUAUAUACAUGUGAAGAUUUGAUCAUAAUGAGUAAAGUAAAUUGUAUGCCUUUCUCACAAUAAAUUUCUGUUAUUAUAUUUUAUAAAAGUCCACCAACUCCCUAAGUAUAUCCGGAACAAUCUGCAUUAUUAAUUUUCGUACAUAAUAAUUUUAUAGACAUAUUAACAAUGGCAGUUAUCGAAAUUCGCAACCGACUUCCUAACAGAACAAUUAGAGAGAGAUUCGUUUCGCGACAAUCACAUAUAAUGACGUUUUGAAGAAUAUAUAUAUAUAUAUAUAUAUAUAUAUAUAUAUAUAUAUAUAUUACAACAGAUAUUUAUACAACAUUAAAGAUUUGAUACUCUAAACUAUUUCUAAAAUGAGUUUUCUUCUGAAAAGAUGUUUUUAAUUCAAAAGAAUUAUUUAUAAUUUAUAAUUCUUUUAUAAAAAUGUCUUAUUAAUAAUUAUAUGUAAAAAUAUGUAUAAUCAGAACGUGAACUUGUUUUGAAAGAAUGGUUUUAGUAAUUGUAAUGAUUUGUCUAAACAAGAAUCAGUCGAGAAUGAAAUUGAUAUUAGAGGUAUAUAAAGAUAGCAUUUUAUAAAGUCAACUAUUUUUUAUAUCAAUUUUAAUAUAUUUAAGUUUUUAUUUUCAUAUAUAAAACUAAAUAUUUAGUAUUUCGAUUAUUCGAGAAUUAAUUCAAGCACUUAUAAGUAGGUAAAAAAUUAUUUUGUGGGCAUAAAACGUUGUUAUUAAGUUAUAUAACAGUACUAAGUAUGAAGUAAUAAUUUUGUUAAUUGAUAAUUAUAAAAUUAUUUGAAACGUAUGCUAUAUUACAUUAUAAUAUUAAUAAUGGAUAAUGAUUGUAGAACUUCCAAAAUCAAAGAGGGACGUUUGAAUUAACGCUCUAUUAUUAUAAUUUUGAUAAAAAUAAACUGGUUGGGAAAAAUCUAUAAAUAAUUAGUGUCUCGUGCUCUGCGAGAUCGCGGCAAGCGAAAAUCCAAUUAUUUUAAAUAUAUUAUGAAAUAAAUGCAGAUCACAAAGACAAAUUAACAAAAAAGAAAGAUAAUAGAGAAAAAAUUGAGGGACUUCCUCAUAUUACUGUAACAGGGCUGUUAGAUGAUAACAGUUCCAGUUUACCAUCUAGAAGUCCAAAAAUAAUGAGGGACGGCUUAAGGUCAUUGUACCAACUUGAAGUGAAUAUGCCACCCUUCACAAACAUAACUGAAUGUU